UACAGAGGUCUCAAGCGGUGUUCGGAUUCAUUGGGCGUAAAGGGUGCGUAGGUGGCGCCGUAAGUCAGGUGUGAAAUUUCGAGGCUUAACCUCGAAACUGCAUUUGAUACUGCGGUGCUUGAGGACUGGAGAGGAGACUGGAAUUCAUGGUGUAGCAGUGAAAUGCGUAGAGAUCAUGAGGAAGACCAGUGGCGAAGGCGGGUCUCUGGACAGUUCCUGACACUGAGGCACGAAGGCCAGGGGAGCAAACGGG
rnacentral:rRNA from 1 species